GGGUACACCUCUUCCCAUCCCGAACAGAGAAGUUAAGUCCCACUGCGCCGAUGGUACUGCGGUAAGACGUGGAAGAGUAGGUCGACGCCUCCC
rnacentral:rRNA from 1 species